GCGGCCGUGGCGCGGCCCAGGCCGCUGUUCGCCCCGGUGAUCAGCACAGUCUUCCCGUGCAUGAGGCCGGGGUCCCCGCCUCUGCGCAGCCGCUGGACCCUGGGCCCCACGAACCGGCGGGCCGCCAGCCACAGCGCCCCGCCCAGAGCGGCCAGUACUGCCGCCGCAGUGGCCACUGCCAUCGUCAGGCCCGAGGGCCCACCGGCCCCUCCACGGGAGUUCCGCAGCCGCCGCCUUACCGGAACCCAAGAGACCACCUGUACGCGGAGAACGCUGGGGCGCGGCGGGUCGGCCCCUGACGCCAUAAGCUGCGAUGGAACCUAACCUCUGUGCCCCUUCAAUGUGGAACAUGUGGUCAUCAAAGAAGAUGUGGGGCCGGAUCUUCACCAAGAUGGGACUUUUGGGGGCUCCAGCAAGGAAAAGAGCUUCGUCUAUCUCUAGACCCCAGCGUCGAAGGGUCUUCAGCACACGGGCGCCUGAACUGGCUGCACUCCUAGCUGUAACCAGCCAUCAUCCAUGGAAAGUCCAGAUUAGCCUCCUGGAUGGAUUUGUGAGAAGCAGAGCCUCUCCUCCAAGCCAGAGAAGCCAUUGUGUACCAGCUCGCCCUAUUAGCAUACCAUGUGCCCAGGAGUAAACAGUGCCCAGAGAUGCUCUCUGCACCACACCACCACUGCUGGGGUCGGGGAGCGGAGUUGGUGAUCCAGGAAUGUUUUCCUGUUUCUUCAGUGCCUCUUUCAGUGAUAUGAAGUUAAAACCAGGGACACAGGAGAGAAUUAAGCUGACACCAGGAGACACAGCUGACACUGGGGAGAAGUGGUGAAGACAGCAUCCUGGAAGAGGUGAGACUACUGUCUCUGAAGUUACUACAACUCUUCCAUUAAUUUUGUGAGCUUCCAUCGUUUCCUACAUGAACAUUUAUUAAAAUAUUUCCAAUGCAGACUAUGGAGAGAUAGAGAAGAG
rnacentral:lncRNA from 1 species